UUGGAUUUCAUUCUGACGCUU
rnacentral:piRNA from 1 species